UAAAGAUGCAGUGAGAUUCAUGCAGCCUCUGAGAGGAACCCCAGCCUAUUGGGAGAAAACAACAAGAGAUCUUUUUGCCAUGAUCAGACAGUUGGGAACUCCCACGUUCUUUUGCACAUUUUCAGCUGCUGAAAUGCGCUGGCCUGAAGUGAUUGAGGCAAUAACAAGGCAACAAGGUGAACAAGUCAAUUUUGAAGGUCUCGACUGGUCAGCAAAGUGUGACAUCCUGAGAAGCAAUCCUGUCACAACAAUGCGCAUGUUUGACAAGAGAGUUGAAGCAUUAUUCAGAGAUUUACUCUUAUCUCCUGCACAGCCACUUGGCAAAGUUAUUGACUACUUUUACAGAGUUGAGUUUCAGCACAGAGGAAGCCCACACAUACACUGCCUCCUGUGGGUAGAAGGUGCUCCUGUGUUUGAGGAGGAUGAUGAGCAAACUGUUGUUGAUUUUAUAAACAAAUACAUCACAGCUCAGCUGCCUGAUCCACAUAAACAACCUGAACUGUACAAGAAAGUAACAGAAGUGCAAAAACACAGUAAGAACCACACAAAGACGUGCUUUAGGAGUUUAAGCUCCGGGUGCCGUUUUGGUUUUCCUAAACCACCCUGCAAUGAGACAAUGAUCACAAGACCCAGUGAGGAUGAUGAACUGGAAGUAGAAACAGCAAAGAACAAGCUCAGACCACUGAACCAGCUACUGAAUGAACCUGAAACUGCUUCCAUGAGUUUAGAGCAGCUCUUGGCAAGAUGCAAGUUGACACAUGCAGAAUAUGAGCGAUACCUGAAUAAAAUGAACACAAGGAGUACGAUCAUACUAAAGCGUGAUCCAAAAGACUCUUGGAUAAAUGGCUAUAAUCCACAUCUGCUUGAAGCCUGGAACAGUAAUAUCGACAUAAGCUUUGUUCUAGAUGCUUUCGGCGCUGCAAAUUAUUUAAUGAAAUAUAUAUCAAAAAAAGAGGGCGGGCUAUCUGAGUACCUGAAAACUGUCAUUGAAAACUCCCAUAAAGACAGUGUAAAUGAGUGUGAUGAAAUGAGAGCCGUCAUGCAGGCAUAUUCAAAGAAGCGAGAGAUCAGUGCACAGGAGUGUGUUGCUCGUGCAUGUGGUCUUCACAUGAAGCAAUGUUCACAUGCUGUAAUAUUCAUACCAACUGAUGAUAAUCCAGUGAAAAUGAGUCGUCCCCUGUCAGUUCUGGACAACACAACACCUGAGUCUUCCAAUGUUUGGAUGACAUCUUUGAAUGACAAAUACAAAGCCAGACCUGAAACACCAGAGUAUGAGGAGAUGUGCAUGGCAGACUUUGCUGCUACUUGCAGGAUUGUCUAUGGCCAACAGACAAAAGGUAAAGAUGUUUUGCCCCUUCUCAAUGAGAUGGGAUUUGUGCAAAGGCGCAAAAACGAUAAGCCUGCUAUCAUCAGAUUUCACCGCUGCUCACAAGAAAAACAUCCAGAGCAAUAUUACGGAAGACUGCUUAAACUGUACCUUCCUCAUCGUUCAGACCACGAACUGAAAACGCCAUCUUUGCCAACCUAUCAGGCUUUCUAUGGUGCUGGCUGUGUACAGCUACCAAGUACUGACCGUCUUGAGUACGUGCAACACAUUGUCAAAAGAAACAGAGAGAAAUAUGAGAAAAACAGUGAGGAGAUCGAGAGCGCUGUUGAGGAAUAUGAGCAGAACAGAGGUGUGACUGACGAAUGGUGUAAUCUGGCACCUGAAUCAGAUCUCGUAAGGUUGCCACUUGUUGAACAAGAAAGAGAGCGAGACAAUGAAAAUGAACAGGAAGAUGUGCCCGACUACAGCCGUCAGGCUGAUGCUUCAACAGAAGUCAGAGCCAUCAGGGAACCCCCUGCUAUUGAUCCUACAUUGUUACGUC
rnacentral:lncRNA from 1 species